AACGAACGCUGGCGGCAGGCCUAACACAUGCAAGUCGAAGGAGAAGCCAUCUUCGGAUGGUGGAAACUGGCGCACGGGUGAGUAACGCGUGGGUAUCUACCUCGGGGUGGGGAAUAACCGCUGGAAACGGCGGCUAAUACCGCAUACGCCUUAUGAGGGAAAGCUCCGGCGCCCUGAGAGGAGCCCGCGUUGGAUUAGCUUGUUGGUGGGGUAAUGGCCUACCAAGGCUACGAUCUAUAGCUGGUCUGAGAGGAUGAUCAGCCACACUGGGACUGAGACACGGCCCAGACUCCUACGGGAGGCAGCAGUGGGGAAUAUUGGACAAUGGGCGCAAGCCUGAUCCAGCCAUGCCGCGUGAGUGAAGAAGGCCUUAGGGUUGUAAAGCUCUUUCACCUGCGAAGAUGAUGACGGUAGCAGGAGAAGAAGCCCCGGCUAACUCCGUG
rnacentral:rRNA from 1 species